UGCAUGGCUAGGCCGGGGGGUUGGGCGUCCCCUGUAACCCGAAAUCGUCCUCAUGCGGGGGCCGAAAACCUGGGGGCGGCUUGUCAGCCGUAGCUCUCCCCCUGAGCCAACCGAUGACGUCUCGUCCCAUGGGGCUCGACGGUGGGGGAGCACCUUCCGGAGGGAAGGUGUAACCCCCUUUACCUGCCGAACCCCGCCAGGCCCGGAAGGGAGCAACGGUAGGCAGGACGUCGGCGCUCAUGGGGUUGAGCGGGGCUGAGGUUUGGCUCAGGGAUAAGAGGGCUACGGCUGGCAAGUCCACCCCAGGGAAGCCAUGCA
rnacentral:SRP_RNA from 1 species